GUUAUUUAUUUGGAUAAUCUAAAGAAAUUAUUCCAUUGACCUGAGGCCCUAUUUUGAAGCAUCUCAGAAAAUAAAUGCUGCUAUAUGAUAUUAAGAUAUGAUAAUAUCAUUCAUUAUUAAGAGCAAACUGAGUUUCAGUUAUCAAGAAGCUGGAAUAGUAUUCUAUGUGGGAAGCAUCAUGACUUUCUUAGACCAAUUUCCAGGUUUCCUUUUAGGCAUUUAUUUUUACCAUUACAUUUUGCUUAUUUAUAAACAUGCUUAUACACUUGUAUUUACUUUUUAAAAGUGAAUUACUUAGUUGCAAGCAUUAUGUAAUCAUUGUUACAUAUUAUAAAAAUGAUGAAUUGAAACCACCUUUCAUAAGUUUAGAUUUUAAAAUUUAAAUGAGCCUGCAGAAUUUUACUACAAAUCUAGACUGCAUUGCACAUACAAAAAACCAGAAAGGUGUCUUCUUCAGACAGAAUCUUAUUCUAGGUGUUAUCAUUUUACUUUUUAUGUUGCAAAGCUAAAAAGUCAAUUCUAUAUUUCAUAACUUGGCAUCUUAAACAUCUUAAAGAAGAGAUGUAAGGCAAAUACCAAUGUCAU
rnacentral:lncRNA from 1 species